rnacentral:rRNA from 1 species
AUCGAACGCUGGCGGCAGGCCUAACACAUGCAAGUCGAGCGGAGCGGCGGACGGGUGAGUAAUGCCUAGGAAUCUGCCUGGUAGUGGGGGAUAACGUCCGGAAACGGGCGCUAAUACCGCAUACUAUCAGAUGAGCCUAGGUCGGCUUAGCUAGUUGGUGGGGUAAAGGCCUACCAAGGCGACGAUCCGUAACUGGGCUGAGAGGAUGAUCAGUCAGACUGGAACUGAGACACGGUCCAGACUCCUACGGGAGGCAGCAGUAGGGAAUAUUGGGCAAUGGACGAAAGGCUGAUCGAGCCAUGCCGCGUGUGUGAAGAAGGUCUUCGGAUGGUAAAGCACUUGAAGUUGGGAGGCGUUACCAACAGAAUAAGCACCGGCUAACUACGUGCCAGCAGCCGCGGUAAUAC